rnacentral:lncRNA from 1 species
GGAUAAUAUUGGUCGAGGGUGAUACGGCAUGUGAUACGGAUUCUGCCAUGUUUUAUACGCUUUAUCAUAUAUUUCAACAGGAGAGUAUUAUAUUAUAUGAACUGUUUUCUGAUUCAAAGCACUGGGUUACCUUCAGUUCUACUUUUGUCUUGUGUCAAAGGCCUUAAAAGAACUGCUCAAUUACUUAUCCGAAGCACCUGGGCUACCUUACAAUUUGCGUGCUGUUGUUUUAAAAAUAUUUUGUUUGUAUUUUUUUGUGUGUUUUGUAUUUUUUAUAGUUGCAUUUAGUGUGCCAAAAAAUAUGAAAACUUGACGUUCGUGACGUCACAUACCAAACAAUUACGUCAUUCAAUAAAUUGCAUCACGCCCGCAUGACCGUUCUAUUGGACCUCUUUUGAGGAAAUUUUUCUUAAGCUUACAUAAAUAAAAACAGACUUUAUGUAAAAAAAAAUAAAAAAUAAAAAAUAAAGGGGGGUGAUAAAGGGAAGCGGUGUGAUAAAGGGUAUGCGAUAAAGGGUAGGGGUGUGAUAAAGGGUAAGCGAUAAAGGGUGCGCAUCAAAGUUGCGCGAUAUGGAUUAAACAGCAGGCUAUUUAUCAAAUAUGCAAAACUACUGUAUUUACUACUAAACAUAUGAUAAAUAAACAUAUGAUAAAUAAAUUUAUGAUACCUUUAUGACAUGAAGAUGAUUUUAUAUUAAUUUAUUAACAGGUGUGAAAUCGACACAAAUAGCUUAAUAUUAAGUUUAUGUCACUAACAGAACAGUUAAAAG